CCUGGUCGGACAUCAGGAGGUUAGUGCAAUGGCAUAAGCCAGCUUGACUGCGAGCGUGACGGCGCGAGCAGGUGCGAAAGCAGGUCAUAGUGAUCCGGUGGUUCUGAAUGGAAGGGCCAUCGCUCAACGGAUAAAAGGUACUCCGGGGAUAACAGGCUGAUACCGCCCAAGAGUUCAUAUCGACGGCGGUGUUUGGCACCUCGAUGUCGGCUCAUCACAUCCUGGGGCUGAAGUAGGUCCCAAGGGUAUGGCUGUUCGCCAUUUAAAGUGGUACGCGAGCUGGGUUUAGAACGUCGUGAGACAGUUCGGUCCCUAUCUGCCGUGGGCGCUGGAGAACUGAGGGGGGCUGCUCCUAGUACGAGAGGACCGGAGUGGACGCAUCACUGGUGUUCGGGUUGUCAUGCCAAUGGCACUGCCCGGUAGCUAAAUGCGGAAGAGAUAAGUGCUGAAAGCAUCUAAGCACGAAACUUGCCCCGAGAUGAGUUCUCCCUGAGACUUAGAGUCUCCUGAAGGAACGUUGAAGACGACGACGUUGAUAGGCCGGGUGUGUAAGCGCAGCGAUGCGUUGAGCUAACCGGUACUAAUGAACCGUGAGGCUUAACCUU
rnacentral:rRNA from 3 species